rnacentral:lncRNA from 1 species
AUCUCUUUGUAAAACCAUCUUGAAUCUUCUUUUUAUGAUCGAUCAUCUUUCCACAUGAUCUAUCACCGAAAAGUACAGUGUGUACUUGCAUAUUAUGCUUCUCCCUACUGUGGAUAGUUACUGGUGUGAUGAUUCAUCCCAAAAGCAGACGUCUGUGUAGAUGAUCAUUAUCAAAGGUAAAGCACUCAACUUUUUCUGUAAGUACUCCCUUUGACCCUUCCAUUCAAAGUAAAACCCUAGUUUUAUAUCAUUUUUAAAUACACACAUAGACGUUGAUUCAUGUAUAGUAUUGAUGUAUGUGUGUGUUUUUUAUUUUUUUUUUUACAACUUUCUGUAUUCUUUUAUGUGUGCAAACAACCGAAAUAUUAUUUGAAAGACCUAAAAAAGAUCUAUAAUUCACAUGGAACAUGACCUUCUUUCUGUUUUUUCUCUAAAAAAAUAUAUUAUGGUUUAAGAGUUAUUAUAUCUUGGAUAAAAUCCUUGGUUAAAUGCAUCAAGAAUAAAAAAAAUAUGUAUCAACAUGUUUUUAGAUUUUAACAUAACAUAAUCAAAUAAUAAUGAAAUCCAGUUUCAAACAACGAAACAUUUUCAACUGCUUGCCAAAAAAUUAAGCUUGUUUUUAGAUUUUUACGUAAUCCGUUUUGAGAUAAAUUAUGUGUGUUUGGAUUUAUAAAACCAUUAAUCUUAGUUAUUCAACAAUUUAUUUAUGUACGUAAUACUUAUGUUUUAUUAGUUUUUGGUUAUGAUGUUAGUUUUUGGUUAUGACUUACGAUGGAUAAAGUUUAAAACUUAUUUGGGAAUAUUUAAGAAAUAGAAGGUAUUAGACAAUAAAUCAAAAUCAACAUCCUCGGUGCCAGAAGAGAUUAAAGGAACUUGUAAGUCAUUGUUUAUUCGUGUAUGUCUUGUGGAGUUGUAGCUCGUAGUUUAUCCUUGUAUUGCUGCUUCUAGCUUCUUGCUAUAAGUGUUGUACUCGGUGGCGAAACUAGCCAAAAAAAAUUUUGAGGUAUCCUAAAAAAUUUUUUUGGGACCAAGGAUAUCCUUUGUGUAAUGAAGACGUAGUUAAGGAGUAUUUUUAUAUUACGGCGUCGAGUAGUAUUUUUAUGCUAAGACGGGGUUGAGCCGUAGUCCAUGCUCUCCCUACUAACACGUUUCUUAUCCACAAAAGUAAGUUAGCGAGUUUAAAUUCUUAGGGUUGUGCUUGUUAUCCAUAAAAGUAAGUUAGUGAGUUUAAAUUCUUAGGAUUAAGGGCAUAUUUGGCUAAGCUUUUUAAAACAAUUUAUUAACUUAUUGGCUUUUUGAAAAAGUGAGUAUGGAGUUACUUACUGACUUGUUGGCUUUUUCCUUUCUCAUACACCCUUAUUGCCAAAUCAUUUUGAAGCUUAUGAUUUUUCAAUAAGUCAAUAAGUUGUUUCAAAAAGCUUAGCCAAACAUGCCCUAAAUUGUCGUAAAAUUAAGUUCAGUUAAUAAACCUUGUUUCGGAAUAUUGAUUCCAAAGUAAAUAAUUCUGCUAUUUCGUCAUUAAAAAUAAUUUAAACGUAUAGCUGAUUUUAAUCCCAAGUUAGUUGUGUAAACCCUUAGAUUAUUUGAUGGAAAAGAUUGAAGAUCUACUAAAAAAUACUUUUUUUUAUAAUUUAAUAAAUAAGAUUUUUGGUGAUAAUCAUGAAAUGAUAGAACUAGUCUAUGUUUAACUUAUAAUUUUAAACUAGUUCUAAGAAUUCUCUGCUCGACACAUUAUACUAAUCAAAUAUUUUCUAUCAACGCCACUGUGAAUCACAAAAUUUGAGAUUAAACUAUAAUAUGUAAUUUGUAAAGACUGAUUUUAAAUUUUGUCGCAAUAUAUUAAAUAAUUAUUUGAUUUUAAUCAGUUAUUAAUUAAUGUGUGGGGUUCAGUUACAAAGUCUAUUUUUCGUACAUAGUGUACAAAGUCAUAAAACAUCACAAUUUCAGUUAAAACACACUCAAAACCUACAAAUAACUUGGUGAAGAUCAUUAAAACACAAUAUCCAAACUCUAACAGUCCUUAAGAGCUUCAAACAUGCUAUCGUAACACUAUGAAUAUAAAACACAAGAUAAUCAACAUAAAACACACUAAUGUUAGUCAUUCGAUAAUCAAAGCCUCAUCAUCCAAAACACAACAUAAAACCUACAAAUAUGGUGUUUUAGUUAUCUUUGCUAUGUUAUUUGUGGGUUGAGUGUGUUUUAUGAGUUUUUACACUUUAUAAGAAAAAUUGACUUUGUAGCAACUCUCACCCAUUAAUUAUGUAUUUGUUGAGAAAGUAGUUUAAUCGAAUAAAAUCGUAUAUAAUGAUGCAUUAAUUAAUUUGGUAUAUAAAACAAUGUUGGAUUCUUUUAACAUCUGAAGUUUAGAAAUAAUUUUUAGAUGGAAAAUAUGUUUAAAAAUGUUUUUUUGUUAAUAUAUAAUCUUAAAGAUAGAACCUGAACCAUGGCCUGUGAAAUUUAAUAUAUGCACAACUUAUUUGACACUUCCUGUAAAUAUUUUUACUUUUCAAGUGUUCACACUUGUAAAUGAGUGGAAUGGAAUUUAUUUACAUUUAUAAUCUUGAAAAAUAAAAGAAAGUUAGCGUAACUCUAAAAAUGCAAAAAUUAGCCUGCCAGGUGCUCUUUGUUUUUUAAAUGUAUUUUAAAAGAUAAUACGUCUGUAGUUUGCGGACUACAUCUGCAGAUAUGUGUAGAAGAAGAGGUAUGUCAAAUCUCUGCAGUGUACAAGAAGAAGAGUGUGUUUUUUUAACGCGUGAGAUAAUAUGUCUGCAGUUUGCGGACUAUAUCUGCCGGAGAAGAGGUGGACAUCGGCAGGAGAAGAGGUAGAUCAAACCUCUGCAAUCUGUAAGAAGAAGACUGUUUGUUUUUUCAACGUAUGUAGACUUCUAAAAUAAGCUGUUGGUGGUGUACGGACGGUGGUGGACGUGGGUGGGGUGGUGGACGUGGGUGGGGUGGUGGUGUUUAAUCCUUUGCAGUAUUUAGAAGAUCUUAGAUGUGGUUGGACCAAGUUUGCAACAAGAAGAACUCGUGCAGACGUUUUUUUAAUGAAAUGUCUUUAGAAAAACAAACAGUUUGCAGAUAACAAAAUCUGCGCGGCGAAGAUAAAAGAGUUUGUGCAUGUCGUUUUUAGAAAAUCUACGCAACCUAAGAGUUUGUUUUAAUAUGAGUUGAAAUAUGUUAAUUUGUUUGAAAUAGAUUAUUGACCAAAAUACUUAUAUAUGUUUGAAUUGAGAAUAACAUAGUGUU